AACGAACGCUGGCGGCAUGCCUAACACAUGCAAGUCGAACGAGACCUUCGGGUCUAGUGGCGCACGGGUGCGUAACGCGUGGGAACCUGCCCUUAGGUUCGGAAUAACUCCCCGAAAGGGGUGCUAAUACCGGAUAAUGUCUUCGGACCAAAGAUUUAUCGCCUUUGGAUGGGCCCGCGUUGGAUUAGCUAGUUGGUAGGGUAAAAGCCUGCCAAGGCGACGAUCCAUAGCUGGUCUGAGAGGAUGAUCAGCCACACUGGGACUGAGACACGGACCAGACUGCUACGGGGGACAGCAGUGGAGAAUAUUAGACAAGGGGCGAAAGUGUAAUACAGCAAUGCCGCGGGAGUGAUGAUGGCCUUAGGGUUGUAAAGCUCUUUUACCCGGGAUGAUAAUGACGGUACCGGGAGAAUAAGCACCGGCUAACUCCGUG
rnacentral:rRNA from 1 species